GCGCAAAUUACCCAAUCCCGACUCGGGGAGGUAGUGACAAUAAAUACUGAUACAGGGCUCUUUUGGGUCUUGUAAUUGGAAUGAGUACAAUUUAAAUCCCUUAACGAGGAACAAUUGGAGGGCAAGUCUGGUGCCAGCAGCCGCGGUAAUUCCAGCUCCAAUAGCGUAUAUUAAAGUUGUUGUGGUUAAAAAGCUCGUAGUUGAACCUUGGGCCUGGCUGGCCGGUCCGCCUCACCGCGUGUACUGGUCCGGCCGGGCCUUUCCCUCUGUGGAACCCCAUGCCCUUCACUGGGUGUGGCGGGGAAACAGGACUUUUACUUUGAAAAAAUUAGAGUGCUCCAGGCAGGCCUAUGCUCGAAUACAUUAGCAUGGAAUAAUAAAAUAGGACGUGUGGUUCUAUUUUGUUGGUUUCUAGGACCGCCGUAAUGAUUAAUAGGGACAGUCGGGGGCAUCAGUAUUCAAUUGUCAGAGGUGAAAUUCUUGGAUUUAUUGAAGACUAACUACUGCGAAAGCAUUUGCCAAGGAUGUUUUCAUUAAUCAGGAACGAAAGUUAGGGGAUCGAAGACGAUCAGAUACCGUCGUAGUCUUAACCAUAAACUAUGCCGACUAGGGAUCGGACGAUGUUAUUAUUUGACUCGUUCGGCACCUUACGAGAAAUCAAAGUGCUUGGGCUCCAGG
rnacentral:rRNA from 1 species